UACGAAGGGGGCGAGCGUUGUUCGGAUUUACUGGGCGUAAAGGGCGCGUAGGCGGCCCUCCUUGUCGCGUGUGAAAGCCCCGGGCUCAACCUGGGAAUUGCGCGCGAAACGGGGGGGCUUGAGUUCGGGAGAGGAGCGUGGAAUUCCCAGUGUAGAGGUGAAAUUCGUAGAUAUUGGGAAGAACACCGGUGGCGAAGGCGGUUGCCUGGGGCUUUGCUGACGCUGAUGCGCGAAAGCGUGGGGAGCGAUCCGG
rnacentral:rRNA from 1 species